rnacentral:lncRNA from 1 species
GUGAAAUGUGAGGUAUCAAGAGAGACAGAUAAAUCUGGGUUGGUGCAAUUAGACAUAUGGAAAGGUUUUUGUGUGCUGGCUUGCUUGUUUGAUUGGCUAGGUAGAAAUCUAGGUUUGAUUAUUUUAAACAUGCAUAAGGAAAGCAAUGGAUCUUAGGCUAUGUCUACAUGGAGUGAAAAACACAGUAGCCCAGAAAUUAGACUCCAGAGAAAUGAUGUUAGGAAAUCUAAACUGAAAUGGACCCCAGAGCAAUUGAAGAAAGAAAGAGUCAAGGCAGAGGAGCUUCUUCCCAUGGCCACCACCACUACAGACUCAUGGGGAGUACUGCCAGACUACCUCCAUAUGAAAAAUGCUCAACAUCACUAAUGAUCAGGGAAAUGCAAAUCAAACCCACAAUGUGAUACCACCUUACUCCUGCAAGAAUGGCCAUAAUCAAAAAACAAUAGAGGUUGGGAUGGAUGUGGUGAUCAGGGAACACUUCUACACUGCUGGUGGGAAUGUAAACUAGUACAGCCACUAUGAAAAACAGCAUGGAGAUUCCUUAAGGUACUAAAAGUAGAACUACCUUUUGAUUCUGCAAAGAAAAGUAGUCGUUAUUUGAAAAAGAUACUUGCAUACUCAUGUUUAUAGCAGCACAAUUAACAAUUGUAAAAUUUUGGAACCAACCCAAAUGCCCAUUAAUCAAUGAGUGAAUUAAGAAACUGCAGAUAGGCCAGGCGCAGUGGCUCAUGCCUGUUAACCCCAGCACUUUGGGAGGCUGAGGCAGGCAGACCACAAAGUCAGGAGUUCCAGACCAGCCUGACGAACAUGGUGAAACCCUGUCUCUACUAAAAAUACAAAAAUUAGCUGGGCAUGGUAGUGUGUGCCUAUAAUCCUAGCUACUCAGGAGGCUGAGGCCAGAGAAUCACCUAAAUCCAGGAGGCAGAGAUUGCAGUGAGCCGAGAUCGCCCCAUAGCACUCCAGCCUGGGUGACAGAGCGAGACUCCGUCUCAAAAACAAAAACAACAACAACAGAAAAAAGAAACUGUGGUAUAUAUAUAUACAAUGGAAUACUACUCAGCCAUAAGAAGGAAUGAAUGAACAGCAUUUGCAAUGACCUGGAUGAGAAUGGAGACUGUUAUUCCAAGUGAAGCAACUCAGGAAUGGAAAAACAAACAUUGUUUGUUCACACUGAUAUGUGGGAGCUAAGGUAUGAGGAUGCAAAGGCAUAAGAAUAAUGCAAUGGAUUUUGGGGUCUUGUGGGGAAGAGCAGAAGAAGGCAAGGGAUAAAAGAAUACAAAUAGGCCGGGCACGGUGGCUCAAGCCUGUAAUCCCAGCACUUUGGGAGGCCAAGACUGGUGGAUCACGAGGUCAAGAGAUUGAGACCAUCCUGGUCAACAUGGUGAAACCCCGUCUCUACUAAAAAUACAAAAAAUUAGCUGGGCAUGGUGGUGCAUGCCUGUAAUCCCAGCUACUCGGGAGGCUGAGGCAGGAGAAUUGCCUGAACCCAGGAGGCGGAGGUUGCUGUGAGCCGAGAUCGCGCCAUUGCACUCCAGCCUGGGUAACAAGAGUGAAACUCCGUCUCAAAAAAAAAAAGAAUACAAACAUGGUGCAGUGUAUACUGCUUGGGUGAUAGAUGCACCAAAACCUCACAAAUCACCACUAAAGAACUUACUCAUGUUACCAAAUACCACCUGUACCCCAAUAACAUAUGGAAAAAUUUUUAAAAAGAAAAAGGAAUUAAAGUUUAUAUUUAACCAAAGUUAAGGAAAAAAAUGUCUUACUUUACUUUUCAGAGGUUUAGCUAAGUGAGAAAUGUAACAAGAGAAUAACUGACUCAAGUCUAUCACUCAAUUAUGUGUUUUGGAUUUCUUAUUUUAUACUGUCAAUCUAACUUUUG